GAUGAACGCUGGCGGCGUGCUUAACACAUGCAAGUCGAACGAUGAAGCCCAGCUUGCUUGGUGGUUUAGUGGCGAACGGGUGAGUAACACGUGAGUAACCUGCCCUUUACUCUGGGAUAAGCCUGUGAAACUGGGUCUAAUACCGGCUAGGAGCGUCCACCGCAUGGUGGGUGUUGGAUAGAUUUAUCGGUUUUGGAUGGACGCGCGGCCUAUCAGCUUGUUGGUGAGGUAUUGGCUCACCAAGGCGACGACGGGUAGCCGGCCUGAGAGGGGGACCGGCGACACUGGGACUGAGAGACGGCCCAGACUCCAACGGGAGGCAGCAGUGGGAAAUAUUGCACAAUGGGCGCAAGCGUGAUGCAGCGACGCCGCGUGAGGGAUGACGGCCUUCGGGUGGUAAACAUAUUUCAGUAGGGAAGAAGCGAAAGUGACGGUACCUGCAGAAGAAGCACCGGCUAACUACGUG
rnacentral:rRNA from 1 species